UCUUAUGUACAUGCCUACAACAUAGCGGUAAUGCAUCGGAUUCCAUUAGAACUCCACAGUUAAGUGCACUCAGGUUAGAGUAGUACUAGGAUGGGUGAUUUCCUGGGAAGUCCUAGUAUUUAAAAUGC
rnacentral:rRNA from 1 species